rnacentral:rRNA from 1 species
GAUGAACGCUGGCGGCGUGCCUAAUACAUGCAAGUCGAGCGAACGGACGAGAAGCUUGCUUCUCUGAUGUUAGCGGCGGACGGGUGAGUAACACGUGGAUCACCUACCUAUAAGACUGGGAUAACUUCGGGAAACCGGAUCUAAUACCGGAUAAUAUUUUGAACCGCAUGGUUCAACAGUGAAAGACGGUCUUGCUGUCACUUAUAGAUGGAUCCGCGCUGCAUUAGCUAGUUGGUAAGGUAACGGCUUACCAAGGCAACGAUGCAUAGCCGACCUGAGAGGGUGAUCGGCCACACUGGAACGGAGACACGGUCCAGACUCCUACGGGAGGCAGCAGUAGGGAAUCUUCCGCAAUGGGCGAAAGCCUGACGGAGCAACGCCGCGUGAGUGAUGAAGGUCUUCGGAUCGUAAAACUCUGUUAUUAGGGAAGAACAUAUGUGUAAGUAACUGUGCACAUCUUGACGGUACCUAAUCAGAGAGCCACGGCUAACUACGUG